rnacentral:rRNA from 1 species
AUUGAACGCUGGCGGCAGGCUUAACACAUGCAAGUCGAGCGAGCGGCGGACGGGUGAGUAAUGUCUGGGACACUGCCUGAUGGAGGGGGAUAACUACUGGAAACGGUAGCUAAUACCGCAUACCCUCAGAUGUGCCCAGAGGGGAUUCGCUAGUAGGUGGGGUAAUGGCUCACCUAGGCGCCGAUCCCUAGCGGGUCUGCGAGGAUGACAAGCCACACUGGAACUGAGACACGGUCCAGACUCCUACGGGAGGCAGCAUGGGGGAAUAUUGCACAAUGGGCGCAAGCCUGAUGCAGCCAUGCCGCGUGUAUGAAGAAGGCCUUCGGGUUGUAAAGUACUUUCAGCGGGGAGGCGUUACUCGCAGAAGAAGCACCGGCUAACUCCGUGCCAGCCGCCGCGGUAAUUC